UACGUAGGGUGCGAGCGUUGUCCGGAAUUAUUGGGCGUAAAGAGCUCGUAGGCGGUUUGUUGCGUCGGCCGUGAAAACCUGCAGCUUAACUGUGGGCCUGCGGCCGAUACGGGCAGACUUGAGUUCGGUAGGGGAGACUGGAAUUCCUGGUGUAGCGGUGAAAUGCGCAGAUAUCAGGAGGAACACCGGUGGCGAAGGCGGCUCUCUGGGACGGUACUGACGCUGAGACGCGAAAGCGUGGGGAGCGAACAGG
rnacentral:rRNA from 1 species